AACGAACGCUGGCGGCAGGCUUAACACAUGCAAGUCGAACGCCCCGCAAGGGGAGUGGCGCACGGGUGAGUAACGCGUGGGGAUCUGCCCUUUAGUUCGGAAUAACACCGGGAAACUGGUGCUAAUACCGGAUACUCCAUUUCGUCUUGGCGACAGAAUGGGAAAGAUUUAUCGCUAAAGGAUGAACCCGCGUAUGAUUAGCUAGUUGGUGAGGUAAUGGCUCACCAAGGCGACGAUCAUUAGCUGGUCUGAGAGGACGAUCAGCCACACUGGAACUGAGACACGGUCCAGACUCCUACGGGAGGCAGCAGUGGGGAAUAUUGGACAAUGGGCGAAAGCCUGAUCCAGCCAUGCCGCGUGAGUGAUGAAGGCCUUCGGGUUGUAAAGCUCUUUUAGAUGGGAAGAUAAUGACGGUACCAUCAGAAUAAGCCCCGGCUAACUUCGUGCCAGCAGCCGCCGUAA
rnacentral:rRNA from 1 species